rnacentral:rRNA from 1 species
UUUAAAGAGCCGCGGUAUUUUGACCGUGCAAAGGUAGCAUAAUCAUUAGUCUCUUAAUUAGGGGCUGGAAUGAAUGGCUUGACGAGAAAUCAGCUGUCUCUUAAUAAUUUUUAAAAUUUAACUUUUGAGUCAAAAGGCUUAAAUUUUUCUUUAGGACGAGAAGACCCUAUAGAGCUUGACAUUUUAUUUUUAUAUGGUUUUUUGUUGGUCUUCCUAUAUUUAAUGAUAAUGUUUUGUUGGGGUGACAUGAAGAAUGAGUAAACUCUUCAUUAUAAAAUCAUUGAUUUAUGUUUAUCAUGAUCCAUAAUUUAUGAUCAUAAGAUUAAGUUACCUUAGGGAUAACAGCGUAAUUGUUUUUGAGAGCUCAUAUUGACAAAGCAGAUUGCGACCUCGAUGUUGGAUUAAGAAAAAUUUUGGGUGCAGGAGCCCAAUAAUUAGGUCUGUUCGACCUUUAAAUUCUUAC